rnacentral:rRNA from 1 species
AUUGAACACUGGCGGAAUGCUUUACACAUGCAAGUCGAACGGCAGCACGGACUUCGGUCCGGUGGCGAGUGGCGAACGGGUGAGUAAUACAUCGGAACGUGCCCAGUCGUGGGGGAUAACGUAGCGAAAGCUACGCUAAUACCGCAUACGAUCUAAGGAUGAAAGCGGGGGAUCGCAAGACCUCGCGCGAUUGGAGCGGCCGAUGGCAGAUUAGGUAGUUGGUAGGGUAAAGGCCUACCAAGCCGACGAUCUGUAGCUGGUCUGAGAGGAUGAUCAGCCACACUGGGACUGAGACACGGCCCAGACUCCUACGGGAGGCAGCAGUGGGGAAUUUUGGACAAUGGGCGCAAGCCUGAUCCAGCCAUUCCGCGUGCAGGAUGAAGGCCUUCGGAUUGUAAACUGCUUUUGUACAGAACGAAAAGGCUCUGGUUAAUACCCGGGGCUCAUGACGGUACUGUAAGAAUAAGCACCGGCUAACUACGUGCCAGCCGCCGCCGUAA